GUCGCCCUAUGACGGAGUGGUGUCCCGGCGGCGCGUGGGCCAUUUUCAUCGCGCUGAACUGAAGGAACGACUUUCCCAGCGUCACCCUGCAGAACAGCAUCUGCCUGCAAAGGGGAACUUGUGUGUGUGUUGCAGAGCGCCACCUUGAUGAUGUUGUACCGGCUGAAGACUCCCCCCGCGUUGCCUCCGUCGCGGUGCUCUCUGAUGGUGCUCUGGAGCUGAGGACAAAAUGACCAGACAUCAAAAAACGUGUGUGAGUGGGAUAACACAUGCUAAUGGAAUUCAGAUUUCAUAACGGCAGGUGUUAUUCGUUGGGCCGCCUAGAUACCUUUUAUCAUUUUUCCCCUCAGCCACCGGGGAGUGUUUUCGUGAUCGUUUGUAUUCUCUAUUUACCGGCGUGUGUAGUACAGACGUGACUAACAGUCACACAUCACGGCUCUGUCAUUUUGCAGGAUGCAGUUGGUGGAAAUCAACAGCACCACACAGAUGUGCGUCCAUUAUGCAGCAGCAGCAGCCGGCGAUAAAAGCGAGGUGGACGGACUGAACAUAUAAACCUUCGUCUUUAGAUCCAGUUUACUCGAUCGGUUUUAGUUGGGAUCAACUGUAGAUUGAAGGUUACAGGGCCAUGUGAUCCGUGAUGGAGCCGCAACUCAUUCAAUCACAGCAGAUGUCUAAAUUUCCCGUGGGAAAUCCGGUGCGGCUGCAAAAGUGUGGCAUCAGCAGCAAAACGGAGUCCAGAAGCUGGAUUUACGCGACUAGACGAGCGUUUUCUGUGUCGCGCUUUUAGCGAUGGCCCCCCCACGCGCAAAAUGAGUUCUCCCCCCGACGACAGAAACUAUUGAUGACCUAUGAAAUACUGCCGAGGACAGGCGGACGACCUCGACCCAGUAGUGGCAACUGUCUAGGGGGAACGCAUGGUCAUUUAAAAAAAAUGACGCGUUAAAUGACCUGUUAGGAAGUGACGGUCAUCAUUCAUUCAGACUGAUAUCGGCUGUCUGUUCAGAGAGAAAUGGAGCAACGGCCACGAUCACAGUGUGAGCUGUCUCCUCUGCCAGAUGUCUAGAAUCACUCAUCAUGAGCAUUAAAAAAAACGUCGAGCCCUCCUCAGGAAAU